AGCAGUAGCCACGGUAAUACGUAGGGUGCGAGCGUUAAUCGGAUUUACUGGGCGUAAAGCGUGCGCAGGCGGCCCGUUAAGACAGGUGUGAAAUCCCUGGGCUCAACCUAGGAAUUGCGCUUGUGACUGGCGGGCUCGAGUACGGUAGAGGGGGGUGGAAUUCCUGGUGUAGCAGUGAAAUGCGUAGAGAUCAGGAGGAACACCGAUGGCGAAGGCAGCCCCCUGGGCCUGUACUGACGCUCAUGCACGAAAGCGUGGGGAGCAAACAGGAUUAGAGACCCGAGUAGUCCCUGUCUCUUAUAC
rnacentral:rRNA from 1 species